rnacentral:tRNA from 1 species
GCUUCCGUCGUCUAGAGGCCAAGGACCCUGGGUUUUCAUCUCAGUAACGCUGGUUCGAAUCCAGUCGGAAGUGCCA